UGCAGUCGAGCGGUAGAGAGAAGCUUGCUUCUCUUGAGAGCGGCGGACGGGUGAGUAAUGCCUAGGAAUCUGCCUGGUAGUGGGGGAUAACGCUCGGAAACGGACGCUAAUACCGCAUACGUCCUACGGGAGAAAGCAGGGGACCUUCGGGCCUUGCGCUAUCAGAUGAGCCUAGGUCGGAUUAGCUAGUUGGUGAGGUAAUGGCUCACCAAGGCGACGAUCCGUAACUGGUCUGAGAGGAUGAUCAGUCACACUGGAACUGAGACACGGUCCAGACUCCUACGGGAGGCAGCAGUGGGGAAUAUUGGACAAUGGGCGAAAGCCUGAUCCAGCCAUGCCGCGUGUGUGAAGAAGGUCUUCGGAUUGUAAAGCACUUUAAGUUGGGAGGAAGGGCAUUAACCUAAUACGUUGGUGUCUUGACGUUACCGACAGAAUAAGCACCGGCUAACUCUGUGCCAG
rnacentral:rRNA from 1 species